GACGAACGCUGGCGGCGUGCUUAACACAUGCAAGUCGAACGGAAAGGCCCUGCUUUUGUGGGGUGCUCGAGUGGCGAACGGGUGAGUAACACGUGAGUAACCUGCCCUUGACUUUGGGAUAACUUCAGGAAGCUGGGGCUAAUACCGGAUAGGAGCUCCUGCUGCAUGGUGGGGGUUGGAAAGUUUCGGCGGUUGGGGAUGGACUCGCGGCUUAUCAGCUUGUUGGUGGGGUAGUGGCUUACCAAGGCUUUGACGGGUAGCCGGCCUGAGAGGGUGACCGGCCACAUUGGGACUGAGAUACGGCCCAGGCUCCUACGGGAGGCAGCAGUGGGGAAUAUUGCACAAUGGGCGGAAGCCUGAUGCAGCAACGCCGCGUGCGGGAUGACGGCCUUCGGGUUGUAAACCGCUUUCGCCUGUGACGAAGCGUGAGUGACGGUAAUGGGUAAAGAAGCACCGGCUAACUACGUG
rnacentral:rRNA from 1 species